UACAGAGGGUGCGAGCGUUAAUCGGAAUUACUGGGCGUAAAGCGCGCGUAGGCGGCUUUGCAAGUCGGGUGUGAAAUCCCCAGGCUUAACCUGGGAACUGCAUUCGAGACUGCAUUGCUAGAGUAUGGGAGAGGGAAGUGGAAUUUCCGGUGUAGCGGUGAAAUGCGUAGAUAUCGGAAGGAACACCAGUAGCGAAGGCGGCACUCUGGGCCGGUACUGACGCUGAGGAGCGAAAGCGUGGGGAGCAAACAGG
rnacentral:rRNA from 1 species